CAUUCAUAUUCACUCAUGAGCAACAACAACCACUUGUUUACCAACAUUGCGACCAUUAUACAAGCCAAUCAAUGCAGCAGGACCAUUCUCAAGACCCUCAGCUAUGUCUUCCACAUACACAACCUUUCCUUCUCUUAUAAGAGGCAAGACAAAUUCCAAGAAUUUUGUAUAAAGGUGAUAGUAAUCAACUACGACAAAACCUUGCAUAUGAAUCCGUUUAUAUAUGAGAUGCGCCAAAUUCGUGACACCUUCAUGUCGCGUAAGAUUAUACUGUGAAAUCAUUCCACACACAGGUAUGCGACCGUGGAUUUUCAUAUUCAGGAGUACAGCAUCAAGUGUCUUGCCUCCAACAUUCUCAAAGUAAAUGUCAAUUCCUUCUGGAAAGUACCUGAUUAACAUAAAUUGAUAUAACUACUAGUCAUCUAUGAAGUAUUGACAAAGACACAUAUACGACAUUGACACUGACACAUAUACACUAAUAGUAACUUCAAAAAAUAGGAGCGAGUGUAUGUAUGUAAUCAGAAAUACGGUGUGUUGAUGUCCGAUACCAACAUGUGUNNNNNNNNNNNNNNNNNNNNNNNNNNNNNNNNNNNNNNNNNNAGGAAUCAAGCUAUACUCUUCCCAUUUAGUAAUACCCCAAACUAAAUCACCUUUCUUAUAAUCUUGGUGUCCAGAUUCCAACACUUUAGACACACCAUAUCCUAUCAAUGGCUGCAAUUAAUCCACAGUUACUAGCUCCAUUUAUCUCAAUAUUUAAGAUUCCUUGAUCAAUUGCAACUCUAAUCAAACUAUCACUCCAAACAUUGAACUUAAGCCUCUGCUAGGUGUAAAAGUGUAUAGUGAGCUUGCAUUUGAAUUCCACAACGUCGAGGUUCUCGAGCUGUGCAAUGUAUAUAAUAUAUACAUGGAGUAAACCACCAAAAUUGUGUCCGACUAUGUAAGACGCUUUCAAAUAGGUCUCUGCCUUUAUGAAUAUUUCAAAAAAAUCCCUGACUCAGUCAAAUUUGACUCAUAUUAUUAGUCCUUAGAGUAUGCUAGGGACUAAAUUGAUAUUAGGUGGAUAAACUUAGGGACCAAAUUGAUAGUAAGUUGUUAAAAUAUAGGCACUUAAUUGAUAAUAAGUGAUUAAAUAUAUGAGUGUUUUACAAAGUCAGACACAAAUUUAGUGACUUACUCAUAUAUGUGGUGUUUAGACACACUAAAUAAUAAUAAUAAUAAUUGAUGAAAGAAAGAGAGAGCAUUACAUACAGAACCAGGAGUGUGAGCACCAAGUCCUCCAGUAGUGUCCUUGGUCAUAAGGAUCCGCAUGUAAGGAUCACAUGACAAGUACAAAUUUUUUAGCAGCAACUCAUUGGAAUCUUGUGGAAGCUUUAGAGUAAUAGUACUAUCAACAAUGUUCAUGUCUGAUUCUUUAGGAAAACCAGAAACAUAGUCCUUCAGAAUCACUUGCUUGUUCCUCACUUGUGUCAUCUCAGGAAUUGUUUCACCACAGAUGUGUUCGGAUUUGUUUGUGUGGUGUUGAAUUUGUUCAUUAAAUAUAAGAAUGGCACUGUACUAUUGUUGGCCACACCUUGUUGGAAAUGGAUUAUAUGCAAGGAUAAAAUGGGAAAAAUCAAAUUAGAGGUUGAUAUGUUCCCAUUUGUCUCGAGUAAAUGAAAUCAAACAAGAGACAACAAUGCUGAAAAGCCAAGUGCAUCAUGGUGAUGUCUGAGACAAUGAUAUCAGUGGUUUUUUUUUUUUUUAAGGAUGUUGUGAUGUGAUUUUUUAUGUUACAUAAGUCUGAAUCUGUAGUGCAGAUACUAAAGGGAAACCAUAAUGCAUGCACAUACUAAAAACCAAAACAAUAAACUCAACUGUCACAUAAAAUGUCUAAUAAGCAUGCAUCCUUAGGAGCUUAAUAUUACAACUUAUAAUGAUUAACUUAUUCCAAAGAAGAAGCAGAAAAACUAGAAUGGUUAAAAAGCAAAAAUCUUAACAAAAUCAUUCCUUAAAUCUAGUUUUCCUGCAUCAUAUUUCUCCAUUUGAUUGCUAACUGAGAAAGAGUCUUUGUAGAAGAUCCAUAUUCUUUGAGUGCAUUAAUAGCAUUUUCUUUCAACUUCUUCAUUCUAUUGCACAAUUUCUCACUUUCUUCCCCUUCCAUGAGACACUUGAUCAACUCAGAAACCUCUACCCUUUCUACAAUGCCAUUUUCGUUAACUCUUGGCCUUAUUCCCACUUUUAGGCCCUGACUCGGCAAAAUUGCAUUCAUUUUCUGCUCAGCAUACAAAGGCCAUGUGAUUAGUGGCACACCAUGCAUCACACUCUCAAGGAUUGAGUUCCAGCCGCAAUGACUCAAGAAUCCACCAAUUGAUUUGUGACUAAGGAUUUGAAUCUGCGGUGCCCAUGAUGGAAUAACCAUUCCUUGUUCCUUGGUUCUCUCCAUGAACCCGGGUGGUAAAAAUUGCGAAAGGUCAACGUCAACAUCAUUUUGUGCCGAAUUUGAAAGAUAUGCAGCACUAGAUGAACUACUACUUGGUGCUCUAACAACCCACAAGAAUUUAUGAUUACUCGAUUCUAAACCGAAAGCCAGCUCAACAAUUUGUUCUUGUGAAAGUGUACCACCACUCCCAAAAGACACAUACAAAACCGAACAAGGUUGUUGUUUAUCCAACCAUGUGAGACAUUCCAGACCGCGAUUAGCAUCAUCACCGGAACUUGUUACUGUCGAGAUGAUGGGUCCAACAGGAUACACAGGAGGGUUGUCACUUCCUUCUUCUGCUAGUGCUUCUAUAGGACCUUUUUCAAUUUCUAAGAAGCUAUUAACAAUAACACCAUCAGCAAAAUGGAAUCUUUUAACAAGCUGGAGUAACAAUUUGUAAGCCUGAAUUGAUCUAUCUUGAGCCGGGGCAUAGAUAUCCCUGCCAUGGAAUGGUAUGCAGCCUGGUAAUUUGAUAGGUUCUGGUAGAUCUCUGUACUCACACGAUGUUUCCUGGUCUAACUUAGGCAAAUAGAAGCUCAAAGCCAGUGUAGUAGCUGAUCCGGGGUAGUACAUAUAUGACAACAUGUUGAAUUCCUUAGCAAAAUCUAGUGCUUCAACUGCAAAACAAUCAACCACCAAGGCCACAAGGGGUGUCCUUAAAGUUAAGGACUUCAAGGCCUGAUGUAUAAAUGGCAAUGAGUGAGUCAAUGUGAGCUGAAGUUGUGAUGCUAAGGUAGUACCUUGUGGUAGUAGGUCUUUGGGGUGUACUGGUUGAAGAAAAGUGUAGUUGAUGUUUGAUGGAAGAGUUUGAAGAAUGGCUUUUGAGGAACUUGGAGGAGAACCAAGUAUUGGAAUGAGACAUGUGACAUGAAUGUAUGGAUGAAGAUGAACUAGUAGCUUGGAGAAUUGAAGAAUAGGGACCAAGUGGCUAUACCCAACACCAGGAACAACUGCAAUGUUAAUUGUUUUCUCCAUGGAAGUUUGUGAUCAAGUUCAUAGGUUAAUUGUUUUGUCCAUUGUGAAAAUAGAAUUAUUUAUGUGCCAAAGCAUCAACACUAAGAUAUGCUUGUACAUUUUGAAAUAAUCAAUAUGAACCACUCAUACUAGUUACUACAAUGAAAAGAUAAGACACAUAAUGUUUUCUGACACACUUGGAUUCUACUGCCACAAAGUAAUGCAGCUGUACCUUGAAGAUCCCAACAUUUACAUUUGACAUAUAUGCACAUUGAAAAAAUGUGUUGAAAUAGGCCACCUCUUUAAUGAAUCUCAAUUACCUUAAUACAUUAAUCUUUGCAAUUGAUGCAGAAAUACCUUGAUUUAUCGAAAAGACUGUUUAUUUAUCAUAAACGCAAUCUAUGCAAAUCUAAAUUUUAUUUGAAGAAAAACAAAUAAAAUUGUGAAUCACCAAAAAUAAGGGGACCAAAAUACAUUUAAGCAUAUCAUAAAAUGAUGUCACUGAAGCAGAUAAUCAUAAUCAAUAGAGUGGAGGAAGAGGUUUCCAAAGGCACCAACAUUAAACAAAAGCAUCUGCAUUCAUUCACUCAUGAGCAACAAAAACCACUUGUUUACCAACAUUGUGACCACUAAAGAGACCAACUAAUGCUUUAGGGCCAUUCUCUAGUCCCUUAGCUAUGUCUUCUACAUACACAAUCUUUCCUUCUCUUAUUAGAGGCAGAAUAAACUCCAAGAAUUUUGUAUAAAAGUGAUAGUAAUCCGGUGCAAUAAAACCUUGCAUCUGAAUCCGCUUAUAUAUGAUAUGUGCCAAAUUUGUUAUACCUUCGGGUUGAAUAAGAUUAUACUGUGAAAUCAUUCCACACACAAGUAUGCGACCAUGGACUCUCAUAUUCGGGAGUACAGCAUCGAGUGUCUUGCCUCCAACAUUCUCAAAGUAAAUGUCAAUGCCUUCUUGAAAGUACCUGAUUUACAUAAAGUCUCGUGUAAUGUAAGUAUACAUUUUUAUGCCAAUAAAUUAAUUUAAUUUAAUUUUUCUACCACAAAACUGUUAUAAACUGACCUUUUCAAUGCUGCAUUGAGGUCAUGCUCUUCUUUGUAGUUAAAGGCUUCAUCAUAUCCAAAUUUAUUCUUCAACAGAUCCACCUAGUUUGCCACAAUUCUAUUGAAAAUUGAAUAAUAGUGUUUUUGUAACAAUAUAAUCAAACUAACUAAACAUUGCAAAGUUUGCAAAGACUUGGAUUUUGGUAAUUGUAGUUUUAGGAUAAUUCAAAAUAAUAGUACUAUUGGUCUUAGGAUUGCCUGAUUUAUAAGGUGAGGAUUGUCUAACUUCUUAACACAUCCCCUCGCGCCUAGCACUAUUGGGCUUAGGGAGUGGAUAUAAAUGGUGGAUGGCCCGGUCAUAAACCUGAUAGCAUACAGCCCAACGGAUCGUUGAGGAGGCUCUGAUAAUAUCUUAGAAUUGAGAAUUGGGCCUAACUCAACCCUACAANNNNNNNNNNNNNNNNNNNNNNNNNNNNNNNNNNNNNNNNNNNNNNNNNNNNNNNNNNNNNNNNNNNNNNNNNNNNNNNNNNNNNNNNNNNNNNNNNNNNNNNNNNNNNNNNNNNNNNNNNNNNNNNNNNNNNNNNNNNNNNNNNUUGAGAAUUGGGCCUAACUCAACCCUACAAAACCGGCUUAUAAGGUGAAGAUUGCAAUACUUAUAAACAUUUAUUCAGGUCAUCUCUCAACCAAUGUGAGACUUCUUAACAUAAAAUGACCUCACUAGGCUCUAACACCGAGGAAAAUUAAUAGUACUUCAAACAGCAGAAUAGAUAACAAAAUGUUAAUGUUGAUUUAUCAUUUAUGCAGGCACAUAUAACACCAAUAGUAAUUCAAAAGAAUUACAAAUACCUUUUCUUUAGUUCCUGCACUUCCAACAACAUAGCAACCUGUUAGUUUAGCAAAUUGACCAACAAGUUGACCAACUGCACCAGCAGCAGCUGAAACAAAAACAUUGUCUCCUUUUCUGGGAGUGCCUACUUCAAAGAAACCAGCAUAAGCAGUCAAUCCUAUCAUUGCUGCACUAAAACAAAAAUAUAUGUAAAAAGUCAUAACAAAAUAGAAUGACAAAAAACCUAUGCAAUUGACUUCCAUAACCUUGCUCCUAAGAUUCAUGUUCAAGAAGUAUUAUGCAUACUCAAAUAUAAAAUAUAAAUUGAAAGUGUUGAAUACAUACCUAGAAUUCCAGUAUAGUGAGAAAGUGGAACAUCAGUGUGUUCAAUUUUGCGCAUUCCAGUUGCAGGGACCAAGCUAUACUCUUCCCAUUUAGUCAUACCCCAAACUAAAUCACCUUUCUUAUAAUCUUGGUGUCCAGAUUCCAUAACUUUAGACACACCAUAUCCUGUCAAUGGCUGCAAUUACUCAACAUUUAGUAGCUACAUUUUAUACUCAAGAUUAAACUUAGUCCCAAGCUAGGCGUAAAAGUGUAUAUUGCGCUUGAAUUUGAAUUCCACACUGUCGAGGUUGUUAAGAAUAAUGGUGAUUAGCUAAUAUCUUCCAUUAGUUAGUUAGAGUUUAUAUUAGUUUGUUAGAGUUUGUUAUUAGGUGGUUAGUUAGUUAACCCCUAAAUUGCUCUAUAUAAGAGCCACCAUUGUAUCAUUUUCACUAUCUUUUAUCAAAUAUGAAUCCUUAUGAUUUUUACUAUCUUGAAGACUUUCUAAAGUUUUCUCCAUUUUCUCCAAACCAUGGAAAUCUUAACAGAGGUUCUCGAACUGUGCAAUGUACAUGGAGUAAACCACCAAAUUCGUCUCUGACUUUGUAAGACACUUUCAAAUAGCUCUCUGACUUUAUGAAUAUUUCAAAAAAGUUCCUCACUCAGUCAAAUUUACUCAUAUUAGUCCUUCUUAGAGUAUUCUAAGGACUAAAUUGAUAGUAGGUGGAUAAACUUAGGGACCAAAUUGAUAGUAAGUUGUUAAAAUAUAGGCACUUAAUUGAUAGUAAGUGGUUAAAUGUAGGGACCAACUUGACAGUUUAAUCGAAUCGGGGACCUUUUUAAAAUACUCAGAGACCUAUUUGAGAGUGUUUUACAAAGUCAUUCACUAACUUAGUGGCUAAUUACUCAUAUAUGUGGUGUUUAGACACACUAAAUUAUAAAUAUAAUUGAUGAAAGAGAGAGCAUUACAUACAGAACCAGGAGUGUAAGCACCAAGUCCUGCAGUAGUGUCCUUGGUCAUCAGAAUCCGCAUGUAUGGAUCACAUGACAAGUACAAAUUUUUUAGCAGCAACUCAUUGGAACCUUGUGGAAGCUUAAGAGUAAUGGUACUAUCAACAAUGUUCAUGUCUGAUUCUUUAGGAAAACCAGAAACAUAGUCCUUCAGAAUCACUUGCUUGUUCCUCACUUGUGUCAUCUUAGGAAUUGUGUCACCACAGAUGUGUUCAGAUUUGUCUGUGUGGUGUUGAAUUCAUUAAAUAAAGGAAUGGUACCAUACUAUUGUUGGCCACACAUUGUUGGAAAUGGAUUACAUGCAAUAUUUAGCAAAUUUUAAUUGGUUUAAUUAUGACAGCAAGGAUAAAAUGGGAAAAUCAAAUUGUAGCUAUCUGUUAUGUUUAGUUUUCUUGACAUGUCACAUGUGUAUUAGAUACUCGAAGAAUCUAAAUUUUAUUUCAAUAAAAACCUUAAUUAUUUAGUUCAAUCUUUGACCGAUGCAUAUCGAAGAAUUCUAAAUUUUAUUUCAACAAAAACGAAAAAAAGUUGUGAAUCACCAGAAGUAGGCAUAUCAAAGUACAUUUAAGUCUAUCGUAAGGUGUGAAAGUAGAAGAUAAUUACAAUAACAAUGCGCGCAUCUACAUUCAUUCACUCACGAGUAACAACAACCACUUGUUUGCCAACAUUUUGACCACUGAAGAGACCAACCAAUGCUGCUGGGCUAUUCUCAAGUCCUUCAGCUAUGUCUUCCACAUACGCAAUCUUUCCUUCUCUUAUAAGAGGCAAGACAAACUCCAAGAAUUUUGUAUAAAGAUGAUAGUAUUCAAAUACACCAAAACCUUCCAUCCGAAUCCGCUUAUAUAUGAUAUGUGCUAAAUUUGUGAUACCUUCAGGUUGAGUAAGAUUAUACUGUGAAAUCAUUCCGCAGACAGGUAUGCGACCAUGGACUUUCAUAUUCAACAGUACAGCAUCAAGUGUCUUGCCUCCAACAUUCUCAAAGUAAAUGUCAAUGCCUUCUGGAAAAUACCUGAUUUACAUAAAUGGAUAUAUAUCCAC
rnacentral:lncRNA from 1 species